rnacentral:rRNA from 1 species
AGCGAACGCUGGCGGCAGGCCUAACACAUGCAAGUCGAACGAACCUUUCGGGGUUAGUGGCGGACGGGUGAGUAACACGCGGGAACGUGCCCUUAGGUUCGGCAUACUUCAGGGAAACUUGUGCUAAUACCGAAUGUGCCUUUCGGGGGAAAGAUUUAUCGCCUGUAGAGCGGCCCGCGUCUGAUUAGCUAGUUGGUUGAGGUAAUGGCUCACCACGGCGAGGAUCAGUAGCUGGUCUGUGAGGAGGAGCAGCCACACUGAGGCGGAGACACGGCCCACACUCCUACGGGAGGGAGGAGUGGGGAAUCGUGCGAAAUGGGCGAAGGCCUGACGCAGCCAUGCCGGGAGAAUGAUGAAGGUCUGAGAGUAGAAAAAUUCUUUCAACGGUGACGAUAAUGACGGUACCCGAUGAAGAAGCCCCGGCUAACUACGUG